AGAGUUUGAUCCUGGCUCAGGAUGAACGCUGGCGGUCUGCUUAACACAUGCAAGUCGAACGCACCUUUCGGGGUGAGUGGCGGACGGGUGAGUAACGCGUGAGAAUCUGCCUAGAGGUCGGGGACAACCAUUGGAAACGAUGGCUAAUACCGGAUAUGCCUUACGGGGUGAAAGAUUAAUCGCCUUUAGAAGAGCUCGCGUCUGAUUAGCUAGUUGGUAGGGUAAAAGCCUACCAAGGCAUCGAUCAGUAGCUGGUCUGAGAGGAUGACCAGCCACACUGGGACUGAGACACGGCCCAGACUCCUACGGGAGGCAGCAGUGGGGAAUUUUCCGCAAUGGGCGAAAGCCUGACGGAGCAAGACCGCGUGAGGGAGGAAGGCUCUUGGGUUGUAAACCUCUUUUGUCAGGGAAGAACACAAUGACGGUACCUGACGAAUCAGCAUCGGCUAACUCCGUGCCAGCAGCCGCGGUAAUACGGAGGAUGCAAGCGUUAUCCGGAAUUAUUGGGCGUAAAGCGUCCGCAGGUGGCUAAUCAAGUCUGCGGUCAAAGACCGGGGCUUAACCCUGGAAAGGCCGUGGAAACUGAUAAAGCUAGAGUACCGUAGGGGUAGAGGGAAUUCCCGGUGUAGCGGUGAAAUGCGUAGAGAUCGGGAAGAACAUCGGUGCGAAAGCGCUCUACUGGACGGUGACUGACACUCAGGGACGAAAGCUAGGGGAGCGAAUGGGAUUAGAUACCCUAGUAGUCC
rnacentral:rRNA from 1 species